UGCAACGCGAAGAACCUUACCUGGUCUUGACAUCCCGGAGACCCUUAGGAAACUAGGGGUGCUUCCAUCUGGAAGAAUCUGGAGACAGGUGCUGCAUGGCUGUCGUCAGCUCGUGUCGUGAGAUGUUGGGUUAAGUCCCGCAACGAGCGCAACCCUGCCUUUAGUUGCCAGCAGUUCGGCUGGCACUCUAAAGGGACUGCCGGUGUUAAACCGGAGGAAGGUGGGGAUGACGUCAAGUCCUCAUGGCCUUUAUGACCAGGGCUACACACGUACUACAAUGGCCGAUACAAAGGGCAGCGACACUGCGAGGUGAAGCCAAUCCCGUAAAAUCGGUCUCAGUCCGGAUUGGAGUCUGCAACUCGACUCCAUGAAGUUGGAAUCGCUAGUAAUCGUGGAUCAGCAUGCCACGGUGAAUACGUUCCCGGGCCUU
rnacentral:rRNA from 1 species